AAACAGUGAAUUAUCCGGGUAGAAGUCGGUAGAGCCAGAAACUCACUUUUGAUGUUGGUGUGCCCCCUAGUGGCGAGCUGGAUUCUAAAUCGUGCCCUUUAUUCUCUGCAGCCCUGAAGUUCAGUCCAUCUUGAAAAUCUCCCAACCUCAGGAGCCUGAGCUUAUGAAUGCCAACCCUUCUCCUCCACCAAGUCCUUCUCAGCAAAUCAACCUUGGCCCGUCGUCCAAUCCUCAUGCUAAACCAUCUGACUUUCACUUCUUGAAAGUGAUCGGAAAGGGCAGUUUUGGAAAGGUUCUUCUAGCAAGACACAAGGCAGAAGAAGUGUUCUAUGCAGUCAAAGUUUUACAGAAGAAAGCAAUCCUGAAAAAGAAAGAGGUAUGAGAUGUGCUUGAUGGGGCUGGCAUUGGCGGUAGACACUCCUUGAAUAAUCUUGAUCCUGGAAUGUUGGUGCCAAGUUGAAACAUGCCACUAAAUCUGAAUCGUCAUUUUCCUAGGAGAAGCAUAUUAUGUCGGAGCGGAAUGUUCUGUUGAAGAAUGUGAAGCACCCUUUCCUGGUGGGCCUUCACUUCUCUUUCCAGACUGCUGACAAAUUGUACUUUGUCCUAGACUACAUUAAUGGUGGAGAGGUGAGCAGGGGGGAUAGAAGUCAACUCUUAGUGUCUCUGCACAGCCUGCUUUGUUUUAGUUUGAGAAAAAAGUUUUCAAAGAUUUUUGGUGGGGAGAAUGUUACCAGAAUUAGCAUUUCCUUCAACCUGUCAGGUUUAUAGUUAAUAGAUUACUCGGGGCCACUUCCUGCAGUUGUUCUUUUGCUGUAUAUGUCAAAACUAAUUAAAUUCAUUUGCAACCCAGAAUGACUUUGUUCUGUCUCCCGC
rnacentral:sRNA from 1 species